rnacentral:lncRNA from 1 species
GGAUAUAAAAGUGUCUGAACCUGUACCACCCCCCUCUCUCGUCUCUAUCCAUAGACCCCUCAGAGACUAAACCCUAAUCCCGCCGCCCCUAAAUACCACCGCCAGUGAUGGUGGCUUCGAUGCCAAUGGCCACCAAAUUAACACCCCAAACUCCCCUUCUCAUCCCCUAUCCAAAUCCAUAACCUACUUCCCUCAAACAUACCUAGAAAGCUUCGAAUAAUCGAUCAAAGAUUUUCCGGCCAUGACACCACUUCUACCAAAUUAGUCCAAAUUAACACCACAAGACCGCCUUAAUUUCCUAUAUCAAACCCCCAAGUUACCAACCCUCGAAUAUGGCCGGAAGUGUUCGAAUAUUGAUUUGCACUUUUCCGGCCAAAACCCUAGUUGCCCCAAACCACUCCAAAUUGGCACCAUGUGAUUCCCUUACCUUCCCCAUGAGGAAUCCACUGUCAAUAACACUCAAUUCCCACAAGAGAUGGCCGAAUUUGGACUUCGAAAGUCAGCCAAGUUUUUGAGUUUGUCCUAGUGAGUUUCAAUAUUCUCUUCAUUCUUCAUUUAAUUACUUUCUAUUGCUCCUGUUCUCACUGUGAUUAAUUGCCAGUCUAAUGUGUGCUUCAAUUUUAUCAGUACUAUUUUAAUUUUUUGUCAUUAGUUGUUUUGAUUAAUUCUAAUUGAUUGUUUGAUCAUAAUUUGUUCCAACUCUUGAUUUUGGUUUGAUUUUAGUUUAAGCUUGUAAUAAUUCAUUAAUAAAUUUAUUUUUUAAAAUUCCGUUUGAAUUAAUUUCUAGUAUUCCUUUAGUCAGGUUAAUUGCUAGUUAGUUCAAUUUUAGUUUAAUUGAUCUCUUUUGAUAGUUAAUUUGGUCAUUGAUUCUGAGUUCAAAUCACUAGAUUUUAAUAAGAGUUAAAAUUGGGUUUAUUCUUCAAUAGUUGGCAAUUCAGAGUUUAGGAAAUUGGUUGGUUAUAGCUGCAAUCUAGACUAAAUUCAGGGAUAAUUUGGGUAUUUUGGAUUUGUUGGAACAUGGUUGAAUAUUCUAGGAUCUUCUAGAGUAGUACUAGAGUGCAUAUUUCAGUAACUUAGGGUACUUACUUGAGGAAAAAGUCAAUAAGUAAGAGAACUGAACUGAAUAAAACUGAGGGACUAAAAAAAACUAAAAAACAGAUAUUUUCCAUUUUGUGCCUAUAAAAGGCAUGCACCUUGCCUUCACAUAGAAGUUGGAGAGGCCAAACAAUUCUCCCCAAAAAUACUUUCUAAGCUUUUCAGAUCAGAAAUUCAAAUCUAAGAUCCAAAUCUUCCUUUAGAUCUUAGUUUAAAAGAAACAAAAAAACAAACAAAUUCAGUAGAAUAUCUCAAAAAAUACGUGGAAAAGUUACAGAAAAAUACAAAAGCACUAUUGCAUUGCCAAUAGCCUACUUUGAAUCCAAAAGAAGUUUGAAAUCCUCUAUUUCGCUUGAUAUUGCAAUUUCAAAGCUGUUUCGAGUUAGUUUGCAUGGAAUCUGAUUAGUUUGAGGUGGAUUGUUGGUUAUUUGCUGAUUCUGUUAAGUGUUGGUUUCAUUUUGGUCAUUUUGGUUUGUUCUGGUCAAUCGAUUUGCUCUAUUCAGUUUCUCUGAAAACUUUCUGGGUACUGCAUCUCUCUGGCUUGUAUUUGAUUCCUGCUCCUGGCUACUGCUGACUCCUUCUUCUUCCUCUUGUAUUUCGAUAAACCAAGUACCUAUUCUGUAAUAUUCAGGCUCUCGAAUAUGAAGCGAAGUGUUGUUUGAAUAGAUCUAUGAAUUUCACGUUUUGUCUUAAUUUCUUGCCUCAUUUUAAUUUCAUUCAAGUUAUUUGUAUAAAGUGGACUACAUGAACUCUUUGGACUGUACUUUAGCAUAUUAGUUGGUUUCAUUUGUUCCAUUUGUUCGUACUGACAAUGAUGAUAGUGAUGAGUAAAGUUGUGUUAGCAAUUAGCUUUGGGUCAAUGGAACUGAUUUCAUGAUACGGUUAUUAAUCACAUUAGUUAACCACGGCAUUUUAUGACUGCUUGUAUUACUUCCUAGUUUAAUAGCUCUACGUGAACAAUUGCUUUAAAUCUAGUGGAUGUAUGCACUUGAACUGGUAUUUCCGAGUGGGCCUUAGGUUUUGGGUAAAAUCAGAUAAAUAAAUGUAUACAUCUGUUAAGUUAAUCCAUUAAGUCUGAUAGUUUAAUUUAGUUAGUGAUAUUCUAAUCCAUACUUUUGGAUCGUGCCAUGCACUAUUUCGUUUGUUGCAAUUGUUGAAUACGUUUAAAGUAUCUUAAGU